CUUUCGGUUUUCAUUCUUCUUUUGAUAGCAUCUUCCCUUCCUACCAUCGACAUGAUCCACUUCCCGUCUUGAAUCACCUCUCGAUUCUACGGAGACGCUCAAAAAUAAAGACGACAUUGUUGUUGCUAAAGACGAGACAUGCAACUACAAAAUGGUAACAGAAUCGAUUGUUACAGAGAGAACUCUCCUAUUCUAUAUUUAUAUAGAUUUUACUUAUAUUUUGUUCAUUUUUUGCUUAAUUUUUGC